rnacentral:rRNA from 1 species
AUGGGGGGAACCCUGACCGAGCAACGCCGCGUGAGUGAAGAAGGUUUUCGGAUCGUAAAGCUCUGUUGUUAAGGAAGAACGAGUGUGAGACUGGAAAGUUCAUACUGUGACGGUACUUAACCAGAAAGGGACGGCUAACUACGUGCCAGCAGCCGCGGUAAUACGUAGGUCCCGAGCGUUGUCCGGAUUUAUUGGGCGUAAAGCGAGCGCAGGCGGUUAGAAAAGUCUGAAGUGAAAGGCAGUGGCUCAACCAUUGUAGGCUUUGGAAACUGUUUAACUUGAGUGCAGAAGGGGAGAGUGGAAUUCCAUGUGUAGCGGUGAAAUGCGUAGAUAUAUGGAGGAACACCGGUGGCGAAAGCGGCUCUCUGGUCUGUAACUGACGCUGAGGCUCGAAAGCGUGGGGAGCGAACAGGAUUAGAUACCCUGGUAGUCCACGCCGUAAACGAUGAGUGCUAGGUGUUAGGUCCUUUCCGGGACUUAGUGCCGCAGCUAACGCAUUAAGCACUCCGCCUGGGGAGUACGACCGCAAGGUUGAAACUCAAAGGAAUUGACGGGGGCCCGCACAAGCGGUGGAGCAUGUGGUUUAAUUCGAAGCAACGCGAAGAACCUUACCAGGUCUUGACAUCCCGAUGCUAUUUCUAGAGACAG